GAUUGGGGGCGCUGACCAAGAAAGACAAAGAUAGAGGGGGCAGACCAGGACCAGUGGUUCAAAGUUACAUAAGAAGCCAGUAUCUCCUUAUGAUGGGAACAGGAGGCAGAGAAAUUCUAGGCAGAAAAGGAAGGGGUCCCUGGUGAAGCCCCACCCUCAAGCCUAGAACCGUGGCCCAAAGUGAGAACAUCCCCAUUUUCCCACUCAAAUGUUGCCUUUUCCAAAACCACCCUGGCCCACCCCGUCCCCCAUCCCAUACCCAUAAAAACCCCAGGCUCCACUGGCAGAGGAGCAGCAGAGAAGGAGAGAAGAGAAGCAGCCAGACGUCAGAGAGAAGCAGCUUGACUUCAGAAGGAUGGCUUGACGGUGGGACUUUGGAGAAGAGCCUGGUCAGGGAUGGCCAGACUCCAGGGGAAGACCACCUGCCUGCUCCACCCCCUUUCCAGCUCCCCUUCCCACUGAAAGCCACUUUCAUCAGCAAUAAAAUCCUCUG
rnacentral:lncRNA from 1 species